UACGAAGGGGGCUAGCGUUGUUCGGAUUUACUGGGCGUAAAGCGCACGUAGGCGGAUCUUUAAGUCAGAGGUGAAAUCCCAAGGCUCAACCUUGGAACUGCCUUUGAUACUGGGGAUCUUGAGUCCGGGAGAGGUGAGUGGAACUGCGAGUGUAGAGGUGAAAUUCGUAGAUAUCGGGAGGAACACCAGUGGCGAAGGCGGCGAUCUGGGUCGAUACUGACGCUGAGGUGCGAAAGGCGUGGGGAGCAAACAGG
rnacentral:rRNA from 1 species